rnacentral:rRNA from 1 species
UACGGGGGGGCUAGUGUUACUCAUCAUUACUGGGUGUAAAGCGUAUGUAGGCUGUUUAUUAAGUUUAAAUUAUGACAAUCCAAGCUUAACUUGGAAAAUUUUUUUUAUACUGUUAAACUAGAGAUCUAAAGAGGAUAGCUAUAUUUCUGAAGUUUAGGGAUGAAAUCCUUAGAGAUCAGGGGAUAACCAGCAGGCGAAAGGCGGCUUUCCAUAAAGAUUCUGGACGCUGAAGUUCUUAAGCGUGGGUCGCAAACGGG